rnacentral:rRNA from 1 species
GGUGAACGCUGGCGGCGUGCCUAACACAUGCAAGUCGAGCGGUACAGUUUGAAGCUUCGGUGGAGGGCUGUAUAGCGGCGGACGGGUGAGUAAAGCGUAGGAACGUGCCCCUCGGAGUUGGAUAGCCAUGGGAAACUGUGGGUAAACCGACAUAGACUCGGGAGAGUAAAGGCCGAAAGGCGCCGAGGGAGCGGUCUGCGUCCCAUCAGGUAGUUGGUAGGGUAAAGGCCUACCAAGCCGACGACGGGUAACCGGUCUGAGAGGAUGGCCGGUCACAAGGGCACUGAGAGACGGGCCCUACUCCUACGGGAGGCAGCAGUGGGGGAUUUUGGACAAUGGGCGAAAGCCUGAUCCAGCGACGCCGCGUGGAGGACGAAGCCCUUCGGGGUGUAAACGUCCUUUUCUCAGGAAAAGGAUGAUGGUACCUGAGGAAUAAGCCCGGCUAACUACGUG